UACGAAGGGGGCUAGCGUUGCUCGGAAUCACUGGGCGUAAAGCGCACGUAGGCGGGUUCUUAAGUCAGAGGUGAAAUCCUGGAGCUCAACUCCAGAACUGCCUUUGAUACUGGGAGUCUAGAGUUCGGGAGAGGUGAGUGGAACUGCGAGUGUAGAGGUGAAAUUCGUAGAUAUUCGCAAGAACACCAGUGGCGAAGGCGGCUCACUGGCCCGAUACUGACGCUGAGGUGCGAAAGCGUGGGGAGCAAACAGGAUUAGAAACCCUUGUAGUCC
rnacentral:rRNA from 1 species